GAUGAACGCUGGCGGCGUGCCUAAUACAUGCAAGUCGAGCAAACAGACGAGGAGCUUGCUCCUCUGACGUUAGCGGCGGACGGGUGAGUAACACGUGGAUAACCUACCUAUAAGACUGGGAUAACUUCGGGAAACCGGAGCUAAUACCGGAUAAUAUAUUGAACCGCAUGGUUCAAUAGUGAAAGACGGUUUUGCUGUCACUUAUAGAUGGAUCCGCGCCGCAUUAGCUAGUUGGUAAGGUAACGGCUUACCAAGGCGACGAUGCGUAGCCGACUUGAGAGGGUGAUCGGCCACACUGGAACUGAGACACGGUCCAGACUCCUACGGGAGGCAGCAGUAGGGAAUCUUCCGCAAUGGGCGAAAGCCUGACGGAGCAACGCCGCGUGAGUGAUGAAGGUCUUCGGAUCGUAAAACUCUGUUAUUAGGGAAGAACAAAUGUGUAAGUAACUAUGCACGUCUUGACGGUACCUAAUCAGAAAGCCACGGCUAACUACGUG
rnacentral:rRNA from 1 species